rnacentral:rRNA from 1 species
AGGGUUUGAUUAUGGCUCAGAACGUACGCUGGCGGCACGCCUAACACAUGCAAGUCGAACGAAGUAGCAAUACUUAGUGGCAGACGGGUGAGUAACAUGUAGGUAUCUGCCCUUUGGCCUGGAAUAACACGAGGAAACUUGUGCUAAUACCGGAUAAGUCUUUACGGAGAAAGCUUUAUGCACCAUUGGAUGAGCCUGCACUUGAUUAGUUUGUUGGUGGGGUAAUGGCCUACCAAGACUGUGAUCAAUAGCUGAUUUGAGAGGAUGAUCAGCCACAUUGGGACUGAGACACGGCCCAAACUCCUACGGGAGGCAGCAGUGGGGAAUCUUGCACAAUGGAGGAAACUCUGAUGCAGCGAUGCCGCGUGAGUGAAGAAGGCCUUUGGGUUGUAAAGCUCUUUCGUCGGGGAAGAAAAUGACUGUACCCGAAUAAGAAGGUCCGGCUAACUUCGUGCCAGCCGCCGCGGUAAUACA